rnacentral:rRNA from 1 species
GAUGAACGCUGGCGGCGUGCUUAACACAUGCAAGUCGAACGGACUUUAGUUGAUUAAUCCUUCGGGAAGCGUUGAUUAAAGUUAGUGGCGGACGGGUGAGUAAUGUGUGAGCAACCUGCCUUUCAGAGGGGGAUAACACCCUGAAAAGAGUGCUAAUACCGCAUGAAAUCAUGAUACCGCAUGAUAUUAUGAUCAAAGGAGCAAUCCGCUGAAAGAUGGGCUCACAUCUGAUUAGAUAGUUGGUGAGGUAACGGCUCACCAAGUCGACGAUCAGUAGCCGGACUGAGAGGUUGAACGGCCACAUUGGAACUGAGAGACGGUCCAG